UUAUGGCCAUAUCAUGUUGAAAUACCGGUUCUCUUCCGAUCACUGAAGUUAAGAAACGUCGAGCCUGGUGAGUAAUGACAUGAGUGACCGCUUGAAAAUACCAGGCACUGUA